rnacentral:rRNA from 1 species
UACCUUGUUACGACUUAACCCCAAUCAUCCCCCCACCUUAGGCCGACGAAUCGGACUUCGGGUGUUGGUGACUUUCAUGGUUUGACGGGCGGUGUGUACAAGACCCGGGAACGUAUUCACCGCAGUUUGCUGACCUGCGAUUACUAGCGAUUCCGACUUCAAAGAGGCGAGUUUCAGCCUCUUAUCCGAACUGAGAUUAGCUUUGAUGCGAUUUGCUCCACCUCGCGGCUUCGCUGCGCAUUGUACUAACCAUUGUAUCGUGUUUCUAGCCCAGGGUGUAAGGGAAAUACUGACCUGACAUCAUCCCCUCCUUCCUCCCCGUUACCGGGGCAGUCUGAUUAGAAAAAUACAACUAAUCACAAGGGUUGCGCUCGUUGAUGGACUUAACCAAACAUCUCACGACACGAGCUGACGACGGCCACGCAUCACCUGUCACUUGGCUCAAUAAAGCACUCUCUGCUUUCACAGAAAUUCCAAGGAUGUCAAACCCUGGUAAGGUUCUUCGUUUAUCAUCGAAUUAAAGUACACGAUCCACCGCUUGUGCGGGUUCCCGUCAAUUCCUUUAUGUUUUAGUCUUGCGACCGUACUCCACAGGCGGGAUACUUAACGCGUUAGCUUCGCUACUGAAGGGGUCGAUACCUCCAACAGCUAGUAUCCAUCGUUUUACGGCGUGAACUACCCGGGUAUCUAAUCCGGUUCGCUCCCCACGCUUUCUUGCCUCACUGUCAGAAAUGGCCAAUUAACCUGCCUACGCCAUUGGUGUUCCUUCUUACAUCUACGGAUUUCACUCCUACCCAAGAAAUUUCCAGUUACCCCCUACAUUUCUCGAGUUGGUGAGUUGAAUAAUAC